CCUACGGGCGGCAGCAGUGGGGAAUAUUGGGCAAUGGGCGGAAGCCUGAUCCAGCGACGCCGCGUGAGUGAAGAAGUAUUUCGGUAUGUAAAGCUCUAUCAUCAGGGAAGAAAGAAAUGACGGUACCUGACUAAGAAGCCCCGGCUAACUACGUGCCAGCAGCCGCGGUAAUACGUAGGUGGCAAGCGUUAUCCGGAUUUACUGGGUGUAAAGGGAGCGUAGACGGUUACGCAAGUCUGGAGUGAAAGGCGGGGGCCCAACCCCCGGACUGCUUUGGAAACUGUAUAACUGGAGUGUAGGAGAGGUAGGUGGAAUUCCUAGUGUAGCGGUGAAAUGCGUAGAUAUGAGGAGGAACACCAGUGGCGAAGGCGGCUUACUGGACUGUAACUGACGUUGAGGCGCGAAAGCGUGGGGAGCAAACAGGAUUAGAUACCCCGGUAGUC
rnacentral:rRNA from 1 species